rnacentral:rRNA from 1 species
GACGAACCGUCCAAACGUUAUUCGGAAUCACUGGGCUUACAGAGUUCGUAGGCGGUCUGGAAAGUUGGGUGUGAAAUCCCUCGGCUCAACCGAGGAACUGCGCUCAAAACUACCAGACUCGAGGGAGAUAGAGGAAAGCGGAACUGAUGGUGGAGCGGUGAAAUGCGUUGAUAUUAUCAGGAACACCGGUGGCGAAGGCGGCUUUCUGGGUCUUACCUGACGCUGAGGAACGAAAGCUAGGGGAGCGAACGGG